GGCCUGCUGCAAGAGCAAAUAUCAGAAGCCUUAAAGGGAGCACUUGCAUUUGGAUACGACAUGGGAAAAGAGUCAAAUGGUGAAGACUAUCCCACCGCUGACACUAUACCGAUUGGAACUUUCUUCGAAGGCUUGAACAGCUCAUCUUUCGGACACGACGCGGAAAAUUACACAGGCCAUCAAUUCCCAGUCUAUCCCACCGCUGACACUAGUAAGUUCGACGAAC